rnacentral:rRNA from 1 species
AACGAACGCUGGCGGCGUGCUUAACACAUGCAAGUCGAACGAGAAAACCGUAGCAAUACGGUGAGUAAAGUGGCGCACGGGUCCGUAACACGUGGGUAAUCUACCUCCGGGCGAGGGACAACCUGUCGAAAGAUGGGCUAAUACCUUAUAAGACCACGGGAUCUUCGGGUCCCGGGGCCAAAGGUGGCCUCUACCUGUAAGCUAUCACCUGGAGAUGAGCCCGCGCACCAUUAGCUUGUUGGUGAGGUAAAAGCUCACCAAGGCCAAGAUGGUUAGCUGGUCUGAGAGGACGACCAGCGACACUGGAACUGAGACACGGUCCAGACUCCUACGGGAGGCAGCAGUGGGGAAUUUUGGACAAUGGGCGAAAGCCUGAUCCAGCAACGCCGCGUGAGUGAUGAAGGCCUUCGGGUCGUAAAGCUCUGUCGGAGGGAAAGAAUAAGGGUGUCCUAACACGACAUCCGAUGACGGUACCCUCAAAGGAAGCAACGGCUAACUCUGUG